AUUGAACGCUGGCGGCAGGCCUAACACAUGCAAGUCGAGCGGUAACACAGGGAGCUUGCUCCUGGGUGACGAGCGGCGGACGGGUGAGUAAUGUCUGGGAAACUGCCUGAUGGAGGGGGAUAACUACUGGAAACGGUAGCUAAUACCGCAUAACGUCGCAAGACCAAAGAGGGGGACCUUCGGGCCUCUUGCCAUCAGAUGUGCCCAGAUGGGAUUAGCUAGUAGGUGGGGUAACGGCUCACCUAGGCGACGAUCCCUAGCUGGUCUGAGAGGAGGACCAGCCACACUGGAACGGAGACACGGUCCAGACUCCUACGGGAGGCAGCAGUGGGGAAUAUUGCACAAUGGGCGCAAGCCUGAUGCAGCCAUGCCGCGUGUAUGAAGAAGGCCUUCGGGUUGUAAAGUACUUUCAGCGGGGAGGAAGGCGAUAAGGUUAAUAACCUUGUCGAUUGACGUUACCCGCAGAAGAAGCACCGGCUAACUCCGUGCCAGCAGCCGCCGUAAAAC
rnacentral:rRNA from 1 species